rnacentral:rRNA from 2 species
GAUGAGGUAGAUAGGUCUCGUGUGGAAGCGUGGCGACACGUGAAGCUGAGAGAUACUAAUCGAUCGAGGGCUUAACCA